rnacentral:misc_RNA from 1 species
UGCCACUACCAGAUUUUCAACAUCUGAGAUCGGAUUGUAGAACCGCUGUUUUGAGAAUCCGCUAUCAACAACGUAGACAAUUCCCUCCAAAGUCAAAGAUGUCUCAGCAAUAUUGGUCGAUAUCACUACUUUCCUCUUCCCUCUAGGGGUGGGAGAAAACACCAGAUCCUGCUCCAUACGUGAGAGACCAGAGUACAAAGGCAGAACAAUCAAUCCUGAAGAGUUCUUUCCAUUGGCU